UACGUAGGGGGCAAGCGUUGUCCGGAAUUAUUGGGCGUAAAGAGCGUGUAGGCGGUCCGAUAAGUCCGCUCUGAAAGCCCGGGGCUCAACCCCGGGAGGCGGGCGGAUACUGUCGGGCUAGAGUCCGGGAGAGGCAAGUGGAAUUCCUGGUGUAGCGGUGAAAUGCGCAGAUAUCAGGAGGAACACCGAUGGCGAAGGCAGCUUGCUGGGACGGUACUGACGCUAAGGCGCGAAAGCGUGGGGAGCGAACGGG
rnacentral:rRNA from 1 species